rnacentral:misc_RNA from 1 species
UGUCUACGUCUUUGCAGCAAAUUGUGAGUAUACUUUAAUUUGUCGAACCAUAUUUCAUUUUCAUGAGUAGUCUCUUUUUCUUUGUUUUCUUUUUCUUCUUCUUUAUUUCUUUCGUCCUUCUUUACCUUGGCUUUGCUUAGAAAUCUCGCCUUUCUUUGCCUAUCAAUGCUGGGGCAUCCCAUGGAUAAUUGUUUAUGCUUAUGUGAAAUGUGAAAUGUGGAUUGAAUGUAGAAGAUAAUUUAUAUGAAUGUAGACUAUAUUGCAAGCUGAGGUCUUUCUUUAUCAAUAAAAAGAGGGUGUGGGCCAAAUCCUCAAAUGUAAAAUGGCGCAUUUAUAAUAGCAGUAAACUCAUUCCUAAUGAAUUUUUUGAUAAAUGAUAUUAACCAGCUAAGUUGACCAUUAAUGCUUAAAGCUAUUUGGAUAUUAGCAUGGAUGGUAGCAAAUAGACCCAGACUAGGGCUAAAAAUUUUUAAAUAUGUUGCAGUUGAAACAAAACAAUUGCAAUGUUUUUAACUAAAUUGUGAAGAUAAUGGGCGAGAAUCAUAAUGAUAGCUAUUGAUUGGUUUAUUUAAAUUACAAAAUAUAGGUUAUAAUCACUGACUAAAUUGAUAGAAUCUAUUUCCAAGUGUUUGACUAUACUUGUAAUAUAAAUGCAGUUUAUUGCUUGAAAGAGUUGUGCAUGUGAAAUAAAUUUUGAUUGGAUUUAUUUUCAUUCUGGGACAGACUAUAGGUUCCUUACAGAAGAAG